rnacentral:misc_RNA from 1 species
GAAAAUGGUAUCAAAUUCCUAAUUUUAAUAAUGCAGUCCACUGAUUUAUGUUUGUUGGUUUAGCAAUUCAUUUCUGUAGUAUUUAUAUUUCGGCUGAUCUGUUCCUAUUUGUUUUAUUGGGUUGAAAAUGGAGUGCCGCGUUAGGAAAAUCUAGCCGAUUCGCAAAAUAUUUCUUUUUUUUUUUUGGGGAAGGAUUCCUGGAGGUCAUUUUGUAAUUCUCAUUUCAUCCUAGGAGAACUGACAGAUUUUACCUUUGCAAAAAUGUGAUUGAAAUGAAGGAAUAUGACUAGAAACAGAUUUUAAUGCUUUAUCCGUUGCAAAGUUCUUUUCUUGUUCAUGGGUGCAAUUCAAGAUUCACGAUUGCUGAAUUGAGUUUAUAUGUACGAUUGUGUGAGAAUGGUAUAUCUCAUUGAUGUUGAUUUCUUUCCGUCCAGGUCAGAGCAUUGUGUGACAA